rnacentral:rRNA from 1 species
GGCGGACGGGUGAGUAAUGCGUAGGAAUUUACCUCAAAGCGGGGGAUAGCCCGGAGAAAUCCGGAUUAAUACCGCAUGUGCUCUACGGAGGAAAGCGGGCCUCUUCUUGAAAGCUCGCACUUUGAGAUAAGCCUACGUCGGAUUAGCUUGUUGGUAGGGUAAAAGCCUACCAAGGCAACGAUCCGUAGCUGGUUUGAGAGGAUGAUCAGCCACACUGGGACUGAGACACGGCCCAG